AUCCAGUUGACGCGUCCCAAAUAGGAGGAAACGUACGUCCUGGAU
rfam:Schistosoma mansoni strain Puerto Rico chromosome 4, complete genome